CUGUUAAACAGAUAGAAUCCGUUGAGAAACAGUCUAGUCAUGAAAGUCUGAAAGAAGACGAAGCAUCAAAGAGUCCCGACAAAAGCGAGGAGCCCAACCUUGUAAACCUGAUAGGGUCCAUGGACAAACAGUGUAAGCAUGAACCUGUGAUAGAAGAUGAGGCAUCCAGGUGUCCUAUCAAAAGCGAGGAGCCCAACCUUUGCAACCCAAAUUCUCAGGUAUCUGUGAAGGGUCCCUACAAAAGCGAGGAGCCCAACCUUGUAAACCAGAUAGAGUCCAUUGACAAACAGUGUAAGCAUGAACCUGUGAUAGAAGAUGAGGCAUUCUGGAGUCCUAUCAAAAGCGAGGAGCCCAACCCUUUCAACCCAAAUUCUCAGGUAUCUGGAAAGGUCAGCCCUAUUUCAGGGGUUCUGCUAAAGUGUGAUUCUGUUUCUAGCGAUUCUGUGUCAAUUAAU
rnacentral:lncRNA from 1 species